GUUUUGCAAUGUGAAGGUGACAUGCAUUAGCCAAAUGUACGGUGGCCGGCAGGUGCAAAUGCGGAACAACGCCCAAAAACGCAUACAUCAGCAGGAAACAGCUGCAAAUCCUAAAAUGAAAAACAACAAAUCCUGAAAACAAAUACAACCAAAAAACGCUCCAUUUACAGAAAUGAUGCAAACUAAAUACAACACACAAACCCCGAAAACAAACGCAAAAAAACCCCGCUGCAAAUACCAAAACGAUAUGCAAAGUCCAAAGCACAUACAAAUCCCAAAACACAUUUAAAAAAAAAAACUUUCUGGAAGUGCUCCAGGCCUCUAGGUGGCGCGCUGCGUGGAACAGAUUGAUGUCUGACAAGACAUAAAGAAAGCGAACAAGAGUGCUGCAAAUUGAAGCCGGAGGAAACAAAGUUGAUCGAAGUGGAAAAAGUCGAUAUAUAAGAAGUCAGUCAUUUGUGUGUAUGCAGGUGUGGGACAUUCCAAAUGUUCCAAAAGUGAGCACUCCACGAAUGGACAACAGUUUGCCAGGGCCUCUCAGGCACCCACAACCAGCGUCUGAUCGGGAUAGAGCACCAACCCUAUUCCAGGAAGAGGUCUAGUCUGGUUCUGGGUCAGAACCACUUCUAUAGCAACUACACAUGUGUGUCCACUUAGCCAGUCUGAGCCAGAAGACAAAAUGGAGCAAAGCACAGAAUACCUGACUGCGGAGGACAUUGUUGCAGAACUCUCUGCAAAAAUAACAAAUACAUCUUGCAGCAGGUUCAAUAUUAAUAGAGCCAAUAUGUGGGAUGGAGCAAUCCGCGGCUUCAAAGGUGCCUCAUUCGACAACACACCUCACUCCAUAAUCGUUCA